UACAGAGGUCUCAAGCGUUGUUCGGAUUCAUUGGGCGUAAAGGGCGCGUAGGCGGCCCGCUAAGUCGAACGUGAAAUCCCCGAGCUCAACUCGGGAACUGCGUCCGAUACUGGCGGGCUUGAAUCCGGGAGAGGGAUGCGGAAUUCCAGGUGUAGCGGUGAAAUGCGUAGAUAUCUGGAGGAACACCGGUGGCGAAGGCGGCAUCCUGGACCGGCAUUGACGCUGAGGCGCGGAAAGCUAGGGGAGCAAACGGG
rnacentral:rRNA from 1 species